GUUUUAGCGAAAAUCAAAUUCGAGAAAUGAAUGUAUAAUAAAUAGUUCUUUAACAUUUAUCAAUAUUAAAAUUAAAAAUUCUCAGUCAGAAGCGAAACUAGAAUAAAUUAUUAAUAAGGAUGUUGAAGAUCAGAAUGGAAAACCAGAUUAUAUUCUUCGGUUUCCGUUCAAAUAAACUAUGUAUGACAUAUGAAUUUCUAAACCUGGUUGAAAAAAAUGAAGAAAUAUAUGAUACACAUAACAUUUUUUUUUAUUGCCCUUAUGGCUAUUUAUUUAUUGAAAUAUUAGGGGAUUGCCUAGACACACACCUAUUUUGGCCUGUGGUUUAAGUUAGAAAACAGCCAGUAAUGUCUUUCUUUAUUUUCUGGUUCUUACUCAUAUCCAAAACUUUUUAAGGAUUCAUUUAAAAAUCAUCGAUGAUUUUCUCAUCCACUAUACUGUAUAAUUAUUUUUUGUUGUUUUGUGGUUCUUUUUAAGGUGCAGUAUAACAAUUAAUACUGUCCACUUUCUCUUAUUAUCGUAACUUAAAGUUAUAGUAUCCAAAAGGUAAUUUUGUUAUGUUUUUCAUUU
rnacentral:lncRNA from 1 species